rnacentral:rRNA from 1 species
GACGAACGCUGGCGGCGUGCCUAAUACAUGCAAGAAGAACGCUGAAGAGAGGAGCUUGCUCUUCUUGGAUGAGUUGCGAACGGGUGGGUAACGCGUAGGUAACCUGCCUUGUAGCGGGGGAUAACUAUUGGAAACGAUAGCUAAUACCGCAUAACAAUGGAUGACACAUGUCAUUUAUUUGAAAGGGGCAAUUGCUCCACUACAAGAUGGACCUGCGUUGUAUUAGCUAGUAGGUGAGGUAAUGGCUCACCUAGGCGACGAUACAUAGCCGACCUGAGAGGGUGAUCGGCCACACUGGGACUGAGACACGGCCCAGACUCCUACGGGAGGCAGCAGUAGGGAAUCUUCGGCAAUGGGGGCAACCCUGACCGAGCAACGCCGCGUGAGUGAAGAAGGUUUUCGGAUCGUAAAGCUCUGUUGUAAGUCAAGAACGGGUGUGAGAGUGGAAAGUUCACACUGUGACGGUAGCUUACCAGAAAGGGACGGCUAACUACGUG